CAAUAGCGUAUAUUAAAGUUGUUGCGGUUAAAAAGCUCGUAGUUGGAUUUCUGCUGAGAACGACCGGUCCGCCCUCUGGGUGUGUAUCUGGCUCUUUCUUGGCAUCUUCUUGGUGAACGUUGCUGCACUUGACUGUGUGGAGCGCUACCCAGGACUUUUACUUUGAGGAAAUUAGAGUGUUUCAAGCAGGCAUACGCCUUGAAUACAUUAGCAUGGAAUAAUAAGAUAGGACCUCGGUUCUAUUUUGUUGGUUUCUAGAGCUGAGGUAAUGAUUAAUAGGGAUAGUUGGGGGCAUUCGUAUUUAACCGUCAGAGGUGAAAUUCUUGGAUUUGUUAAAGACGGACUACUGCGAAAGCAUUUGCCAAGGAUGUUUNCAUUGA
rnacentral:rRNA from 1 species